CUUGCUAGAUUGAUGGCGAGUGGCGAACGGGUGAGUAUACAUCGGAACGUGCCCUGUAGUGGGGGAUACCUAGUCGAAAGAUUAGCUAAUCCCGCAUACGACCUGAGGGUGAAAGUGGGGGACCGCAAGGCCUCAUGCUAUAGGAGCGGCCGAUGUCUGAUUAGCUAGUUGGUGAGGUAAAGGCUCACCAAGGCGCCGAUCAGUAGCUGGUCUGAGAGGCCGUUCUGCCGGCUCUGGGACUGAGCCCCGGCCCAGACUCCUACGGGAGGCAGCAGUGGGGAAUUUUGGACAAUGGGCGAAAGCCUGAUCCAGCAAUGCCGCGUGUGUGAAGAAGGCCUUCGGGUUGUAAAGCACUUUUGUCCGGAAAGAAAUGGCUCUGGUUAAUACCUGGGGUCGAUGACGGAACC
rnacentral:rRNA from 1 species